AUAUUAGCCAGUGGCGGGAGGAGCGAUGGGCCAGCUUGGCGGCGCCGCCUGGGAGGUGGGGCGGAGUUCCUGGUUGGGGAGACAGCCUUUGACCUCGCCGGGACCGAGGAGGCUCCGGAGCGAUCGCUGCUGGUGAUGUUUUUUGUUCGUCCCCUCCGGCCGAAGGACGGCGGCACCGGCGGCUCUUCUCUGCCCCCUUCUCCGGGGAGAAGGCGACUCCCCCUCCGCUUUUAAAUGUGGCCCUUAUUAAGAGCCGGGGAUGCUCGCUCAGAUACCUGCCUGCCUACCUACCUACCUGCUGCGGCUGCUGCUGUGUGUUGUUUUUGUCCCAGAAGAGAAAGAGAGAAAUCCCUGGACCAGGCUCGGCGCUCGUAACUUUCUAAGGAUUUGAG